rnacentral:misc_RNA from 1 species
UCAACCCCUUAAGCCCCUGUUGCUUAGCGUUAGGAAUCUGCGUCGCGGCGCAGUUCCCCAAAGGUAGUGGCAGUGUAGGGCACACUCGUAGCGUAGUAGAUUUAUCUCGCUUCCGACGUGUGGUCCCCGAACGACUCGCCGUAAAACUCCCCUUUUUUAAUAGU